rnacentral:lncRNA from 1 species
AAGGCUUUGAAAACCAUCGAUCUGAGUAGUAGAGUCAAAAGUCUGACUCGAAUAGCCAUGAAUGGACGGAGAAAGGUCAGAGACGACUGGAGAAUAGCCAUCAAGCAAAGACAGGACAAAACCAUUCAUGAUCAUGUCAUGAGACAACAGAAUUGAACACGUAGAAGCAAUGGGAGGUGGAUACAAGUCUCUGAUAACCCUGGAAGCCAUAGAUCUGAGAGAUAUUAGGGUUGUAUUUUGAUGGCGGCGACUAGAGUUUGAGAGGAUUUGAGAGAGGAUUGAGAGAGAAAUGGGGUUCAGAG